rnacentral:rRNA from 1 species
ACACAUGCAAGUCGAGCGGAAACGGCAGUAUUGAAGCUUCGGUGGAUUUACUGGACGUCGAGCGGCGGACGGGUGAGUAACGGCUGGGAACCUGCCCUGACGAGGGGGAUAACCGUUGGAAACGACGGCUAAUACCGCAGAAUGUCUUAGUUCAUUACGAGCUAGGACCAAAGGUGGCCUCUACAUGUAAGCUAUCGCGUUGGGAUGGGCCCAGUUAGGAUUAGCUAGUUGGUAAGGUAAUGGCUUACCAAGGCAACGAUCCUUAGCUGGUUUGAGAGGAUGAUCAGCCACACUGGGACUGAGACACGGCCCAGACUCCUACGGGAGGCAGCAGUGGGGAAUAUUGCACAAUGGGGGAGACCCUGAUGCAGCCAUGCCGCGUGUGUGAAGAAGGCCUUCGGGUUGUAAAGCACUUUCAGCAGUGAGGAAGGUAGUGUACUUAAUACGUGCAUGGCUUGACGUUAGCUGCAGAAGAAGCACCGGCUAACUCCGUGCCAGCAGCCGCGGUAAUACGGAGGGUGCGAGCGUUAAUCGGAAUUACUGGGCGUAAAGCGCAUGCAGGCGGUUUGUUAAGUCAGAUGUGAAAGCCCGGGGCUCAACCUCGGAACCGCAUUUGAAACUGGCAGGCUAGAGUCUUGUAGAGGGGGGUAGAAUUUCAGGUGUAGCGGUGAAAUGCGUAGAGAUCUGAAGGAAUACCAGUGGCGAAGGCGGCCCCCUGGACAAAGACUGACGCUCAGAUGCGAAAGCGUGGGUAGCAAACAGGAUUAGAUACCCUGGUAGUCCACGCCGUAAACGAUGUCUACUUGGAGGCUGAGGUUUAAGACUUUGGCUUUCGGAGCUAACGCAUUAAGUAGACCGCCUGGGGAGUACGGCCGCAAGGUUAAAACUCAAAUGAAUUGACGGGGGCCCGCACAAGCGGUGGAGCAUGUGGUUUAAUUCGAUGCAACGCGAAGAACCUUACCUACUCUUGACAUCCAGCGAAUCCUUUAAAGAUAGAGGANUGCCUUCAGGAGCGCUGAGACAGGUGCUGCAUGGCUGUCGUCAGCUCGUGUUGUGAAAUGGUUGGGUUAAGUCCCGCAACGAGCGCAACC